AGAGUUUGAUCAUGGCUCAGGAUGAACGCUAGCGGCAGGCCUAAUACAUGCAAGUCGAGGGAGAAGUUAAAGCUUGCUUUAAUGGAAACCGGCGCACGGGUGCGUAACACGUAUGCAACCUACCUAUUACUGGGAGAUAGCCCGGGGAAACCCGGAUUAAUACCCCAUAGUAUCAUCAGAUGGCAUCUGAAGAUGAUUAAAGCUCCGGCGGUAAUAGAUGGGCAUGCGGAAGAUUAGCUAGUUGGUGAGGUAAUGGCUCACCAAGGCGACGAUCUUUAGGGGUUCUGAGAGGAUUAUCCCCCACACUGGCACUGAGAUACGGGCCAGACUCCUACGGGAGGCAGCAGUAGGGAAUAUUGGUCAAUGGGCGAAAGCCUGAACCAGCCAUGCCGCGUGCAGGAUGACAGCCUUCUGGGUUGUAAACUGCUUUUCUACAGGAAGAAAAAAUCUUUGCGAAGAUAAUUGACGGUACUGUAGGAAUAAGCACCGGCUAACUCCGUGCCAGCAGCCGCGGUAAUACGGAGGGUGCAAGCGUUGUCCGGAUUUAUUGGGUUUAAAGGGUACGUAGGUGGAUUUUUAAGUCCGUGGUGAAAGCCUGCAGCUUAACUGUAGAACUGCCAUGGAUACUGGAAAUCUUGAAUUCAGUUGAGGUAAGCGGAAUUUAUGGUGUAGCGGUGAAAUGCAUAGAUACCAUAAAGAACACCCAUUGCGAAGGCAGCUUACUGGACUUGAAUUGACACUGAGGUACGAAAGCGUGGGGAGCGAACAGGAUUAGAUACCCUGGUAGUCCACGCCGUAAACUAUGGAUACUUGUUGUUGGCGAUAUACUGUCAGUGACC
rnacentral:rRNA from 1 species